UCCAUCAUCACCACUUGCUUUCCACAACCGCUCGCUUUACCCCACAGUUCUCCUCAGCCGUCACCACGCGCGUUCCUUACAUGUUCACCUCGCUCCAUCGAUCCCUUCCUUCGAUCUUUCGAUCUCGCCGCCCAUCCGUCGCUACACGUUGCGAAGACGCAUGGUCUUCUCUGCCGCUUUCACCUCCUAUGCCAUCUCCUCUAGCGCCCAAGCUCACCGUCAACUUAACCUCUCUCUCAGGCCUUUUCUCGAAGGAGUUCCGUUUGAGCGGCCUAUCGAGACGGACGUGUUAGCGCGUAUCGGCACUUAACCUAGUUUGGAAUAUACAGUUGCGUAGAGGGAUAUAAUCGGUCGAUGCAAUCUUGAGGUCAUAUUUUCGGUGUUCUUUGGGCUGGAAUUUUUGGGAGGGAAUAAAGAAUUUUUGUGGGCUCCCCCCUCGGAGGGGGAGCGAUAUAUCUUUUUUUUCUUUCUUUCCGCUGUUUAAGAGACGAUUGGAGAUGGAGGACUCGGAUGAAAUGAGAGAGCAUAUUGGGUAUUAGGCCACAGAUUCAGAUCAAUUGAUCAAUAAUCGCGUCAAGACUGGCUUGUCGGAGAAGGACUUUGACAAAAUCAUCGAGGCAAUUAAUACCGAGAGACCGAAAGAGAAAGAAGCAUGGACUGUGGUGCGGAAUGGGGACCGUGGUGGUGCGAAAAGGCGAAAAACGGGAGAUGCAAAUAAUCUGGAAGACGUAAAGAAAAAUAAAAAGGAAAUGUGCAAUAGCAGGGGUUGCGAUCUUUUAGUUAAUCAAGCUUCCGCGAAUUCAGAUGCGAUUACAGGUGCCCACGCAGUACCGGCUGAUGACGCACGUGAUCCAGGCAUGCUCAACUCACAGGUGCCGCCUGUUAUUACACUUGAUAUGGAGAUGCGCAACACGCGGGCUACGGUGGAAAGAGAGAUAUGCAGGGUAUGCGGAUCGAAAUUGAUUGAGAGCACAGCACCCAUGGGCGAAGUAGAGAGCAAUCUAAAUAGAUUCCCCGACGAUCAGGAGGGUAAGGUAUCAUUGUCCCUCCGGCUCCCCCCAGAGCAAACAUUAACAAGAAAAGGUAGGAAUCAUAUUAAAAUAUGGAUGAUCCUAUCUGAAUUAAAGAUCCGUCCAAUCAAUGUCGUUAUGUUAAAUCACUUUGCGGCUGAAGCAGAAUUUGAAAAGGGAUCAUCGGCUAAUUUUGCGCUAGAACAAAUGGAGAGACUUAAGACUAAAACGUUAACUGCUAAUAUAGAAAAACACCAAAUUUUUUGUAAAGGUGUUAUAACGGAUUGGCCUUCUGCGAUCCCUGAUCUGUGGGCAGCUAUUAGCGAUAAGACAAAUAUAGUUAGUUUGGAACGUAUGUAUAGACGUAAGUGGGACGCUACAAAUAGGACUGCCUCUCUUGUAGAAACAGAUAACAUUAUUAUUAUUUUUAGAGAUAAUAAAUUGAGAGACCUUAAAAUAUUUAAUAAUAUGGUUGGCUUGAGAGUACGACCUUAUAUCACGCAGGUUAGACAGUGUUAUAACUGUUUUAGAUACGGACACACAAAGAACGCAUGUAAGAGCGAGACGAAAUGUAUUAUAUGUGGUGACAAGGCCCACGGUCAAUGCUCUAAAUCGAGCACGAAAAAUUGUUGAAGGCGGUGACGCUUCAGUGUUGUCCAGCCAAGAUAGAUACGUGAACCCGGGGGCGUGGCCCACUCUACCGGAGCCCAGAGGGAUAAACAUCCCCGUGAUGAGACUCAGAAGGACAAUAGGAGGAUAGCUCCCUCCCGCUCUUUUUAUAAACAAUUUAACCUUCGAGAAGAGGAAAUUAACCAGAACAGGAGAGGCUUGGCGCUGGGGGCCUGUCGCAGUGGUGCAACUGUGGAAAGUGACAGCAAGGAUGCUUCCUCCUACGAGGGGAGGAAAGGCAUGAUGUUUUCUGCGGGGAUGUCGAAUGCCAGAGAUAUUGUCGAGGGAAUCCUUUUAUUGCUACAAAGUGAUCCACAGGUGAAAAGUCUUUUGAUUGAGGCACUCAAGCGAAUGUAUGUACGUGGACAAUUAGAAGGGAGUCCUCCGCGACCCAGUGAGACUGUCGAGAUGGAAUAUGAAACACAGAUGAACAACGAGGGGGAAACUUUGUCUUCCCAUUUGACGGAAUAAUUCAGUUUAUUGUUAUG